rnacentral:sRNA from 1 species
UUCUUUUUUUCGUUUUUUUUU